rnacentral:rRNA from 1 species
GACGAACGCUGGCGGCGUGCUUAACACAUGCAAGUCGAACGGAAAGGCCUCUUUCGGGGGGUACUCGAGUGGCGAACGGGUGAGUAACACGUGAGUAACCUGCCCUUGACUUUGGGAUAACUUCAGGAAACUGGGGCUAAUACCGGAUAGGAGCUCCUGCUGCAUGGUGGGGGUUGGAAAGUUUCGGCGGUUGGGGAUGGACUCGCGGCUUAUCAGCUUGUUGGUGGGGUAGUGGCUUACCAAGGCUUUGAUGGGUAGCCGACCUGAGAGGGUGACCGGCCACAGUGGAGGUGAGCGGCGGUCCUGACUCCUACGGGAGGCAGAAGUAGGGAAUCGACGGCAAUGGGCGGAAGCCUGACGGAGCAGUGGCGCGCGAGUGAUGAAGGUCUGCGGAUCGUAAGACUCUGUUAGUAGGGAAGAACAUAUGUGUAAGUAACUGAGCACAGCUUGACGGUACCUAAUCAGAAAGCAACGGCUAACUACGUG